GAAACAAAGCAAGUAGGAAGGACACGGGUGAAGCGAUAGGGCUACACGCAAGUGACAUGGUGGUCAGGCUGCCGGAUAGCAGAUAGAGCGUGUGAUUCUUUGGAAACAGCAAAGGAUGGUUUAUCUGAUCUGAAAGACAGUAUUGAUGAAAUCAUUUCUUCACUGGAAGAUGCAGCACAGUAGAAAGAAGGUGGUUAUGUGAAGAAAAUAGUUGCAGCAUGGAUUGAACAGAUUCUUGAAUUUC
ncrna:unclassified sequences RAGATH-8 RNA